rnacentral:piRNA from 1 species
CUUAUGUAGGCAGCUAGAGGAAUGG